CAUUAGUAGACAAUUUUCUUAAAAUGUACCCUUAGCAUAGAGCACACCAGACUUGCAGAAAGAAAGAGCACACUCCAGAGGAAGCUGAGGCAUGCCUGCUCAAGAGCCAGUGGUUCCACAUGUAGUUUUCCUUUAAAAAAAAAAAAU